GAUGAACGCUAGCUACAGGCUUAACACAUGCAAGUCGAGGGACCGGCGCACGGGUGAGUAACACGUAUACAACCUGCCCUUUACUCGGGGAUAGCCUUUCGUAAGAAAGAUUAAUACCCGAUGUAAAGGAUAGGGAUGCGUUCAAGUAGGUUGUUGGUAUGGUAACGGCUCACCAAGCCUUCGAUGGAUAGGGGUUCUGAGAGGAAGGUCCCCCACAUUGGAACUGAGACACAGUCCAAACUCCUACGGGAGGCAGCAGUGUGGAAUAGUGGUCAAUGGGCGUUAGCCGGAAUCAGCCAAGUAGCGUGAAGGAUGAAGGCUUAUGGGUCGUAAACUUCUUUUAUAUAAGAAUAUGUAUUAUAUGAAUAAGGAUCGGCUAACUCCGUGCCAGCAGCCGCGGUAAUUC
rnacentral:rRNA from 1 species